GACUAAAAUCAGAAGAACUCUGGUCCCAAUCACACAGAAAACUGCUAAAGAGAAGGGGGUGCAUCCUCAGGGCACUUUGUAUCUAUCUAAAUGAAGAACCGAACAUCCUUUUCAAAGAAUACCAGGAUGGUGAUGGUACUGCUGAACAGAGGGAGCUUGGGCUACUUACUCUUGUCAUCUACAGCAACAAAGUCAGGGGAGGUGAUGCCACCACUCCUCAAGCUGAUGUUGGACUAGUGGUCGAGGGUGUUGAAGUUCUACAUGACCUGGGGGACGUCGCUUCUGCAUGUGCACUCUUAAUGGGUGUAAUAUACGCACUGAACCUCAGUUAUCCUAAAGGACUGAAAGCCUUCUUUGAAGUUCUACAGACGUUCUUCCUUUAACUGGAUACUAGCAC